rnacentral:rRNA from 1 species
GACGAACGCUGGCGGCGUGCUUAACACAUGCAAGUCGAACGGAAAGGCCCUGCUUUUGUGGGGUGCUCGAGUGGCGAACGGGUGAGUAACACGUGAGUAACCUGCCCUUGACUUUGGGAUAACUUCAGGAAACUGGGGCUAAUACCGGAUAGGAGCUCCUGCUGCAUGGUGGGGGUUGGAAAGUUUCGGCGGUUGGGGAUGGACUCGCGGCUUAUCAGCUUGUUGGUGGGGUAGUGGCUUACCAAGGCUUUGACGGGUAGCCGGCCUGAGAGGGUGACCGGCCACAUUGGGACUGAGAUACGGCCCAGACUCCUACGGGAGGCAGCAGUGGGGAAUAUUGCACAAUGGGCGGAAGCCUGAUGCAGCAACGCCGCGUGCGGGAUGACGGCCUUCGGGUUGUAAACCGCUUUCGCCUGUGACGAAGCGUGAGUGACGGUAAUGGGUAAAGAAGCACCGGCUAACUACGUGCCAGCAGCCGCGGUGAUACGUAGGGUGCGAGCGUUGUCCGGAUUUAUUGGGCGUAAAGGGCUCGUAGGUGGUUGAUCGCGUCGGAAGUGUAAUCUUGGGGCUUAACCCUGAGCGUGCUUUCGAUACGGGUUGACUUGAGGAAGGUAGGGGAGAAUGGAAUUCCUGGUGGAGCGGUGGAAUGCGCAGAUAUCAGGAGGAACACCAGUGGCGAAGGCGGUUCUCUGGGCCUUUCCUGACGCUGAGGAGCGAAAGCGUGGGGAGCGAACAGGCUUAGAUACCCUGGUAGUCCACGCUGUAAACGGUGGGUACUAGGUGUGGGGUCCAUUCCACGGGUUCCGUGCCGUAGCUAGCGCUUUAAGUACCCCGCCUGGGGAGUACGGCCGCAAGGCUAAAACUCAAAGGAAUUGACGGGGCCCCGCACAAGCGGCGGAGCAUGCAGAUUAAUUCGAUGCAACGCGUAGAACCUUACCUGGGUUUGACAUGGAUCGGGAGUGCUCAGAGAUGGGUGUGCCUCUUUUGGGGUCGGUUCACAGGUGGUGCAUGGCUGUCGUCAGCUCGUGUCGUGAGAUGUUGGGUUAAGUCCCGCAACGAGCGCAACCCUUGUUCACUGUUGCCAGCACGUUAUGGUGGGGACUCAGUGGAGACCGCCGGGGUCAACUCGGAGGAAGGUGGGGAUGACGUCAAGUCAUCAUGCCCCUUAUGUCCAGGGCUUCACGCAUGCUACAAUGGCUGGUACAGAGAGUGGCGAGCCUGUGAGGGUGAGCGAAUCUCGGAAAGCCGGUCUCAGUUCGGAUUGGGGUCUGCAACUCGACCUCAUGAAGUCGGAGUCGCUAGUAAUCGCAGAUCAGCAACGCUGCGGUGAAUACGUUCCCGGGGCU